ACAAAGAACUGUUGUGGUAGGAAGGAGUCAGUAAUUUGGGACAAAGGAGUCAGUAGUUUGGAAGAAAUUGAUGCUGUGAAACUACAGAGGAGUUGCUUCCUUUUUUCACCUGAGUUGGUUUAAAAAGAAGGUCUGGAAGAAAUUGACACUACAACCAUUUCUGAAGUUCAGAUGAUUGACAUCCAGCAAUUCUGACCCAAAAGAGAAUUAGCAGUGAAUACUGAAGACAUAAGAAUCUGCCUAUGCCUUGAAUUUCACUGGAAGAAAAAGGAGAACUAUCUAAUAGGAAAGCUGGAAAUGAAAAGAUUAAGCAAAUCUCGAAACUCAUUUCAGCAUCGAACUGAUGCAUAAAAGUUAGCUCUCACAAUGACAUUCAGAGGAUACUGUCAGUGUCAUACUCAGCAUUCAUGAAUUAAACAUCAUUGGAAGAUAACUGU